rnacentral:rRNA from 1 species
GAUGAACGCUGGCGGUCUGCUUAACACAUGCAAGUCGAACGGGAUGCUUUCGGGCAUCUAGUGGCGGACGGGUGAGUAACGCGUGAGAAUCUGCCCUUGGGAGUGGGACAACGACUGGAAACGGUCGCUAACACCGCAUGAGCCGAGAGGUAAAAGUAUUUUAUAGCCCAAGGAUGAGCUCGCGUCGGAUUAGCUAGUUGGUAGGGUAAGAGCCUACCAAGGCGACGAUCCGUAGCUGGUCUGAGAGGAUGACCAGCCACACUGGGACUGAGACACGGCCCAGACUCCUACGGGAGGCAGCAGUGGGGAAUUUUCCGCAAUGGGGGCAACCCUGACGGAGCAAGACCGCGUGGGGGAGGA